rnacentral:rRNA from 1 species
UACGUAGGGUGCAAGCGUUAAUCGGAAUUACUGGGCGUAAAGCGUGCGCAGGCGGUUUUGUAAGUCUGUCGUGAAAUCCCACGGCUCAACCGUGGAACUGCUGGGCAUACUGGACAUCUCGAGGCACUCAGGGGCGAGCGGAACAAGUGGUGGAGCGGUGAAAUGCGUAGAUAUCACUUGGAACGCCAAUGGUGAAGACAGCUCGCUGGGGGGUGUCCUGACGCUGAGGCGCGAAAGCCAGGGGAGCGAACGGG